UAAAUUCCCAGAAACCGAAGUUACUCCC
rnacentral:piRNA from 1 species